rnacentral:rRNA from 3 species
UACACCUGUUCCCAUGUCGAACACAGAAGUUAAGUCCAUCUACGGCGGAAGUACUUGGGGGUUGCCCCCUGGGAGAUAGGCGAGUGGCCAAGU